rnacentral:other from 1 species
AGAGUCCUGAGAUGUACGUUGUGUUACCUGAAGUUUUGACCGAACAUUAUUUAUCCGGGAGUCUGAGUUUUCUGAUUGCGUAAAUGCCCCACCCUAUGACGGGUAAGGGGACUUACAAUACCGGAAACAGGACACCCACCUGCUGAGAGCGGGAUCAAAACUAAGGACCUAGAAGCAACGGCACCAUUGGGACUCUU